CCGUGUUACAGCUCUUUUAGAAUUCUUCUAGCAGGUUUUCCAGUCUUCGAUAAAUGUGUAAAAAACACAU
ensembl:snRNA U7 U7 small nuclear RNA